rnacentral:rRNA from 1 species
GAUGAACGCUAGCGGGAGGCCUAACACAUGCAAGCCGAGCGGUAGAGUUUCUUCGGAAGCUUGAGAGCGGCGCACGGGUGCGUAACACGUGUGCAACCUACCUUUAUCUGGGGGAUAGCCUUUCGAAAGGAAGAUUAAUACCCCAUAAUAUAAUGAUUGGCAUCAAUUAUUAUUGAAAACUCCGGUGGAUAGAGAUGGGCACGCGCAAGAUUAGAUAGUUGGUGAGGUAACGGCUCACCAAGUCAAUGAUCUUUAGGGGUCCUGAGAGGGAGAUCCCCCACACUGGUACUGAGACACGGACCAGACUCCUACGGGAGGCAGCAGUGAGGAAUAUUGGACAAUGGGUGAGAGCCUGAUCCAGCCAUCCCGCGUGAAGGAUGACGGUCCUAUGGAUUGUAAACUUCUUUUGUACAGGGAUAAACCUACCCUCGUGAGGGUAGCUGAAGGUACUGUACGAAUAAGCACCGGCUAACUCCGUG